CCAGGUUCAAUCCUCAGUCCUUAAACAAACAAACAAACAAACAAACAAACAAACAAGAAAGACAUUCAAAGGUGGUUGACUUCUAAGACUCCCAAAGAAAAUCGAAUCCUAGGAGAGUUUAUAGAAAAUACUAGUGUUUUGGAAAACAAACACUGGAAAAGACUUCUGAAUACCGGCAAGCUGGGCAGCACUGAGUCAAACAACUUUUUGCGGUGCAUGUUCAGUACAUGUCUCAAAGGUUUUAUUGAAAAAACCUACUUUAGAAUAUAUUUUAUUGUAGUAUAAGAUGCAUGCUCAUGGUCAAAGAUGUAGAAUGCCCCUUCGGGCAUUAGGGUCGGGACCUCGUAGGACUCCCCAAAGGCUCACUGUGUUGAGUCUCAGUUGCUGAUGGGCUUUUGGGAAGUGAAGGCACUAACUUCAGUGGAUUAAUUUAUAAUUUGAUGGCGUUAUUGGUAGGGGAUGGAGAUAGCAGACAGGGCCCACCUGAAGGGAGUAGAUCGGGGGGUCAUGACCUUGGGGACAUUUGUCCCUGGAAUCUUCCUCUCUGGCUCUUUCCUGUCUCUGCUCCCUGGCUGCCAUGAGGGCAGCAGCUCUCCUCCAUCGCUCCUUUCCGCCGUCAUGUUUCUGCCUCUCCACAAGCUGACAAUCAAUGGAGCCUAGACCCUGGACUACAACCUCUGAAACUCUGAGCCAAAAUGAAUCUUUCCUCGUUUAAAUCGCUAUUCUCAGGUAUUUUGUCAGUGAGGAGAAGCCGACUAACAUAUCCUGCAUAGAAACUCACUGUGAUCUCUCAGAAGACCACUGAAUUCUUCCACCUCUUUUUGGAAAAGCUCCCCACGAAGCCUGAGCUGUUCCCAUACCCUUCUGACAAUCCAUACCGAGAAGUUGGCAAAGAGAAGCAAGCAGAAGUCUAUGAAGCACUGGGAGAGGGUGUCUUCUGCCAGCAGCCCAGAUCCAACUGAGAGGCCGUGGCCAGGUGCCCAUGAAAGGGUCACUGUGGUUUGAAUGUGUCUCAGCGUGAGGGCUGGGAACCUUAAUUCCUCCACACAGCAGUGGUCGGGGGAGAGGCCUUGUGGGAGAGGCGUGGGUCAUCAUGAAUGGACCUAUGAUUUUCUCCCAGGAAUGGCUGAGCUGCUGGGCGGCUUCAGCCCCCUUUUCUCUCAUGUGAGCUUUUUCUUUCCUUUCAACUUCCACCACAUUGGGAGGCAGCACAGGGCUUUCUCUCUCCAGACACAGCUACCUAUGGUGGCCUCCAGAUCAAGAGCAAAGUAAAUGUCUUCUCUCUCUAAGUUACCCGUCUCUGGUAUUCUAUGAUAGCAACAUAAAAUGGGUUCAACAAGGUAUUAAUAAAUAUAUACUCUGGCUUUACCCCUACUUCUGGCAGAGGGGACUCCUGGGAUCUGCUGGCCCUCAGGUAGCAGCAGGGAGGAGCAGGGAGGACGAAGGUGGGAGAACCCUGCACCCCCCGGAAUAGGGGGAUCCUAUUCUGAUGACUUUAUCCAAUCUCCCAAAGGUUACAUAUCCAAAUAGCAUUUAAUGUAUGCAUUUGGGGGUUAAGUUUCCAGGACACAAACUUUUGGGAGAAACAUUCAAACCAAGAAAGAAGACAUAUUCAUUACGAUUGGUGUAACAAUAAAAUAGCUAAAUAAUGUGUGACAUCAUCAUAAGUGUCUACUUAAUGUAGCUCGGGGAAGACUGCUGCCAGGGACGCAGGGUCAGAGGGCCUGAGGUUUUCUUGGAAAUGCUGUGCACUAAGUUUUCAGUCUCCUCUUCUACAAAAUACGAAUGCAGGAAAUAAUAAUAAUAAUAAUAAUAAUAAUAAUAAUACAUAAUUUGAGGGAUUCUGGGGGAUAAGAGAAUAAGGACAGUAAUAGCAGACACUCAUAUAGAACCUACCAUGUGCCGGGCACUUUUCUAAGCAUGUAGCAUAUGUUAACUAACCUAAGAUCAUGAUGUUCUAAUCACCCCCAUCCUACAGGUGAGCUGCUGAGAGUACAGAGAAGCUGAGUAACUGGCCCAACCACACAGCUAAGAAGUGGCCAAGAAAUCAGGUGGUACCUUCAUUUGAGUCUGCUGCCAGUGACGAGGCCAUGCAAAGCAGCUCAGGGAAAGCAGCUUCACUGUUCUUCAAUGAGAAGCGCGCGGAGGCCUCCCAGGUGACUGCUCAGAUGAAGUCCUGGGAAAAGUUCUUGCCAUCUCAUCUCUGCACUCUUGGGACACUGGGUGAGCCUCAGGCAAACAUCUUCUACCUGUGCCACUGGCUAUCUUGGCACUGAAUCUUCAUCUGGUCUAUUCUGUGCCUGGAAUGUGGCUGAGGUGUCCUUGAUGAAGCCCCUCGGGGUGCUGGAUGAUCCAGAGGGGAGACAACGCCAGUGGGCGCCAGCUGAGGCCUGACUUUUCUAGGUGCUCAAGACUGUCUACAGUUUCUUGGUACGGCAGGUGCUUUACCGAUGAUACCCAUUAGAUGUCGCUGUUGUCAUGUUGGAAAUCCUGUACCGGACUUCUAUCAGAACCAUUCCCCACCAUGCUUUGAUUUCAUUAGUUUUACAACAUAAAUGUGUCCAUUUUUAAGU